rnacentral:rRNA from 1 species
GAUGAACGCUGGCGGCGUGCCUAAUACAUGCAAGUCGAGCGAACGGACGAGAAGCUUGCUUCUCUGAUGUUAGCGGCGGACGGGUGAGUAACACGUGGAUAACCUACCUAUAAGACUGGGAUAACUUCGGGAAACCGGAGCUAAUACCGGAUAAUAUUUUGAACCGCAUGGUUCAAAAGUGAAAGACGGUCUUGCUGUCACUUAUAGAUGGAUCCGCGCUGCAUUAGCUAGUUGGUAAGGUAACGGCUUACCAAGGCAACGAUGCAUAGCCGACCUGAGGGGGUGAUCGGCCACACUGGAACUGAGACACGGUCCAGACGCCUACGGGAGGCAGCAGUAGGGAAUCUUCCGCAAUGGGCGAAAGCCUGACGGAGCAACGCCGCGUGAGUGAUGAAGGUCUUCGGAUCGUAAAACUCUGUUAUUAGGGAAGAACAUAUGUGUAAGUAACUGUGCACAUCUUGACGGUACCUAAUCAGAAAGCCACGGCUAACUACGUG